CCACUGAACUAUAUUCUUGGCCCUUUUUAUUUUUUUAUUUUGAGACAGCUGCUUGCUAAAUUCCUCAGGCAGGACUCAAACUUGAGAUCUUCCUGCUUCAGCCUCCCUCAGUACUGGGAUUAUAAGUAUGCACCUCCAUACUCAGCAGCAAACAUUCGUCUUUAUGGUCUCAGGCUGACACCUUAAGGGAACCCCUACCCAGGGUGCUCCCUGACUCCACACAGGUCCUGCAAGAUUCCUCCUGAGGUGGUGACCAGGCCCGGAAGGCUACCAAAUGAGUCUGAAUAGAACACUAGCUGUUCAUGCCUCAGCCUAAGAAUUCGCUCCCCACUGUGUUCCACGUCACACGUUCUCGAGGACAUUCAGUAGCGCUCCCUAGAGUGUGCGCACUGAACGCAAAUGAAGGCACAAAAUCACUCCAAGUAAUAAGUGCCAGCGGAAUUCAAGCCCUGAUGUGAAUACAGAGAACACCCGGCCAUCUGCAGCCCGGACUUGGGGACGGUCGCCUUGGCCUGGCCCUAGGCUGGCUGGGGCCUCGCUGCCCGCUGCCUCCUCGGAGAGGCGUCUCACACGCUCAGCUCCAGGGAGCACCAGGCCUCCUCAGCACGCACGGGACUCUGCGCCCCCUGAGGAAAAGCCACAAGCCCCCACAGGAGGCGGCGGCGCCUGAGCCUGCAGAGCCACCGCGGGCCGGGCUGAGGCUGCUGACGCGGCCUUCCCUGCGGAGCGCAGCGCGGACAGGCAGGCCUGCGGAGAAGCAGCUGUGGUCUUUCCAUGUAUUCAUCUUUGAGAGGAGGUCUUGCGAUGUCGCCCAGGCUGGCCCUGAACUCCUGGGCUCGAGGAGUCCUCCCACUUCAGCCUCCCAAGGGGCUGGGACGACAGCUGUGCCCACCGCGGCUGCGUAGGGAAGGAUCUUCACUGCAGAGAACAAGCACGAGGCACAAGCGCACCAGGCCUAACAGAAAAACCCCAAGCGAUCAUAACCUUUGUAGAUGGCAGAAUCGUUUAACUCAGGAAUAAGUGUCACCAGGCCUGAUGGCACAUGCCUACACUCCCACAGCACUUGGGAGGCUGAGGCAGGAGGAUUGCUACAAGUUCAAGGCCAGCAGGGGCUACAUAAUGAGUUCAAGGUCAGCCUGAAUUUACAUGGUGAGAUCUUAUCUAAAAUAAAUCAAUAAAUA
rnacentral:lncRNA from 1 species